GUGCUAUUUAGGCACCACAUGCCCAAAAAUUGGAACAACACGGAGAUUAAACAGUUCCUACAAAAGGAUGACAUGCAAAUACGUGAAGCAUUCCAUGUUUUU
rnacentral:snRNA from 1 species